rnacentral:rRNA from 1 species
AGAGUUUGAUCCUGGCUCAGGAUGAACGCUAGCUACAGGCUUAACACAUGCAAGUCGAGGGGCAGCAUCAUCAAAGCUUGCUUUGAUGGAUGGCGACCGGCGCACGGGUGAGUAACACGUAUCCAACCUGCCGACAACACUGGGAUAGCCUUUCGAAAGAAAGAUUAAUACCGGAUGGCAUAAUUAUUCCGCAUGGGAUAAUUAUUAAAGAAUUUCGGUUGUCGAUGGGGAUGCGUUCCAUUAGGCAGUUGGCGGGGUAACGGCCCACCAAACCUACGAUGGAUAGGGGUUCUGAGAGGAAGGUCCCCCACAUUGGAACUGAGACACGGUCCAAACUCCUACGGGAGGCAGCAGUGAGGAAUAUUGGUCAAUGGACGAGAGUCUGAACCAGCCAAGUAGCGUGAAGGAUGACUGCCCUAUGGGUUGUAAACUUCUUUUAUACGGGAAUAAAGUGAGCCACGUGUGGCUUUUUGUAUGUACCGUAUGAAUAAGGAUCGGCUAACUCCGUGCCAGCAGCCGCGGUAAUACGGAGGAUCCGAGCGUUAUCCGGAUUUAUUGGGUUUAAAGGGAGCGUAGGCGGGUUGUUAAGUCAGUUGUGAAAGUUUGCGGCUCAACCGUAAAAUUGCAGUUGAUACUGGCGACCUUGAGUGCAACAGAGGUAGGCGGAAUUCGUGGUGUAGCGGUGAAAUGCUUAGAUAUCACGAAGAACUCCGAUUGCGAAGGCAGCUUACUGGAUUGUAACUGACGCUGAUGCUCGAAAGUGUGGGUAUCAAACAGGAUUAGAUACCCUGGUAGUCCACACAGUAAACGAUGAAUACUCGCUGUUGGCGAUAUACAGUCAGCGGCCAAGCGAAAGCAUUAAGUAUUCCACCUGGGGAGUACGCCGGCAACGGUGAAACUCAAAGGAAUUGACGGGGGCCCGCACAAGCGGAGGAACAUGUG